AACGUUAAUCGGGGCAGGGUGAGUCGACCCCUAAGGCGAGGCCGAAAGGCGUAGUCGAUGGGAAACAGGUUAAUAUUCCUGUACUUGGUGUUACUGCGAAGGGGGGACGGAGAAGGCUAUGUUGGCCGGGCGACGGUUGUCCCGGUUUAAGCGUGUAGGCUGGUUUUCCAGGCAAAUCCGGAAAAUCAAGGCUGAGGCGUGAUGACGAGGCACUACGGUGCUGAAGCAACAAAUGCCCUGCUUCCAGGAAAAGCCUCUAAGCAUCAGGUAACAUCAAAUCGUACCCCAAACCGACACAGGUGGUCAGGUAGAGAAUACCAAGGCGCUUGAGAGAACUCGGGUGAAGGAACUAGGCAAAAUGGUGCCGUAACUUCGGGAGAAGGCACGCUGAUAUGUAGGUGAAGCGACUUGCUCGUGGAGCUGAAAUCAGUCGAAGAUACCAGCUGGCUGCAACUGUUUAUUAAAAACACAGCACUGUGCAAACACGAAAGUGGACGUAUACGGUGUGACGCCUGCCCGGUGCCGGAAGGUUAAUUGAUGGGGUUAGCGCAAGCGAAGCUCUUGAUCGAAGCCCCGGUAAACGGCGGCCGUAACUAUAACGGUCCUAAGGUAGCGAAAUUCCUUGUCGGGUAAGUUCCGACCUGCACGAAUGGCGUAAUGAUGGCCAGGCUGUCUCCACCCGAGACUCAGUGAAAUUGAACUCGCUGUGAAGAUGCAGUGUACCCGCGGCAAGACGGAAAGACCCCGUGAACCUUUACUAUAGCUUGACACUGAACAUUGAGCCUUGAUGUGUAGGAUAGGUGGGAGGCUUUGAAGUGUGGACGCCAGUCUGCAUGGAGCCGACCUUGAAAUACCACCCUUUAAUGUUUGAUGUUCUAACGUGGACCCGUGAUCCGGGUUGCGGACAGUGUCUGGUGGGUAGUUUGACUGGGGCGGUCUCCUCCUAAAGAGUAACGGAGGAGCACGAAGGUUGGCUAAUCCUGGUCGGACAUCAGGAGGUUAGUGCAAUGGCAUAAGCCAGCUUGACUGCGAGCGUGACGGCGCGAGCAGGUGCGAAAGCAGGUCAUAGUGAUCCGGUGGUUCUGAAUGGAAGGGCCAUCGCUCAACGGAUAAAAGGUACUCCGGGGAUAACAGGCUGAUACCGCCCAAGAGUUCAUAUCGACGGCGGUGUUUGGCACCUCGAUGUCGGCUCAUCACAUCCUGGGGCUGAAGUAGGUCCCAAGGGUAUGGCUGUUCGCCAUUUAAAGUGGUACGCGAGCUGGGUUUAGAACGUCGUGAGACAGUUCGGUCCCUAUCUGCCGUGGGCGCUGGAGAACUGAGGGGGGCUGCUCCUAGUACGAGAGGACCGGAGUGGACGCAUCACUGGUGUUCGGGUUGUCAUGCCAAUGGCACUGCCCGGUAGCUAAAUGCGGAAGAGAUAAGUGCUGAAAGCAUCUAAGCACGAAACUUGCCCCGAGAUGAGUUCUCCCUGACCCUUUAAGGGUCCUGAAGGAACGUUGAAGACGACGACGUUGAUAGGCCGGGUGUGUAAGCGCAGCGAUGCGUUGAGCUAACCGGUACUAAUGAACCGUGAGG
rnacentral:rRNA from 1 species